CCCUUAGACGUCCUGGGCCGCACGCGCGCUACACUGAGUGUCUGAGAUACGAGUCUGCCUGGUCCGGCAAGGUCUAGGUAAUCGCUAAAAGACACAUCAUGCUUGGGAUAGAUUAUUGCAAAUAUUAAUCUUGAACGAGGAAUUCCUAGUAAGCGCAAGUCAACAGCUUGCGUUUAUUACGUCCCUGCCCUUUGUACACACCGCCCGUCGCUACUACUGAUUGGAUGUUUAAGCGAGGUUCUCGAACUGCUAGCGACUUAGCUUCGGUGAGGUCGCAGUGUGGGAAGUGAACCUAGCUUUGGUGUCUAGAGGAAGUAAAAGUCGUAACA
rnacentral:rRNA from 1 species